rnacentral:rRNA from 1 species
GUUGUAUGGUUAAGUGACUAAGCGUACACGGUGGAUGCCUGGGCAGUCAGAGGCGAUGAAGGACGUACUAACUUGCGAUAAGCGCAGAUAAGGCAGUAAGAGCCGUUUGAGUCUGCGAUUUCCGAAUGGGGAAACCCAACUGCAUAAGCAGUUACUGUUAACUGAAUACAUAGGUUAACAGAGCAAACCGGGGGAACUGAAACAUCUAAGUACCCCGAGGAGAAGAAAUCAACCGAGAUUCCGGUAGUAGCGGCGAGCGAACCUGGAUUAGCCCUUAAGCACUCGGUGAAGUAGGUGAACAAGCUGGAAAGCUUGGCGAUACAGGGUGAUAGCCCCGUAACCGACGCUUCAUCGAGCGUGAAAUCGAGUAGGGCGGGACACGUGAUAUCCUGUCUGAAUAUGGGGGGACCAUCCUCCAAGGCUAAAUACUCCUGACUGACCGAUAGUGAACCAGUACCGUGAGGGAAAGGCGAAAAGAACCCCUGUGAGGGGAGUGAAAUAGAACCUGAAACCGUGUACGUACAAGCAGUAGGAGCACCUUCGUGGUGUGACUGCGUACCUUUUGUAUAAUGGGUCAGCGACUUAUAUUCAGUGGCAAGGUUAACCGUAUAGGGGAGCCGUAGCGAAAGCGAGUCUUAACUGGGCGCUCAGUCUCUGGAUAUAGACCCGAAACCGGGUGAUCUAGCCAUGGGCAGGUUGAAGGUUGAGUAACAUCAACUGGAGGACCGAACCGACUAAUGUUGAAAAAUUAGCGGAUGACUUGUGGCUAGGGGUGAAAGGCCAAUCAAACUCGGAGAUAGCUGGUUCUCCCCGAAAGCUAUUUAGGUAGCGCCUCGGACGAAUACUACUGGGGGUAGAGCACUGUUAAGGCUAGGGGGUCAUCCCGACUUACCAACCCUUUGCAAACUCCGAAUACCAGUAAGUACUAUCCGGGAGACACACGGCGGGUGCUAACGUCCGUCGUGGAGAGGGAAACAACCCAGACCGCCAGCUAAGGUCCCAAAGUAUUGCUAAGUGGGAAACGAUGUGGGAAGGCUCAGACAGCUAGGAUGUUGGCUUAGAAGCAGCCAUCAUUUAAAGAAAGCGUAAUAGCUCACUAGUCGAGUCGGCCUGCGCGGAAGAUGUAACGGGGCUAAGCAAUACACCGAAGCUGCGGCAAUGUCUUUUAGACAUUGGGUAGGGGAGCGUUCUGUAAGCCGUUGAAGGUGAAUCGUAAGGUUUGCUGGAGGUAUCAGAAGUGCGAAUGCUGACAUGAGUAACGACAAAGGGGGUGAAAAACCUCCUCGCCGGAAGACCAAGGGUUCCUGUCCAACGUUAAUCGGGGCAGGGUGAGUCGACCCCUAAGGUGAGGCCGAAAGGCGUAAUCGAUGGGAAACGGGUUAAUAUUCCCGUACUUCUGACUAUUGCGAUGGGGGGACGGAGAAGGCUAGGUGGGCCAGGCGACGGUUGUCCUGGUUCAAGUGCGUAGGCUUGAGAGUUAGGUAAAUCCGGCUCUCUCUAAGGCUGAGACACGACGUCGAGCUACUACGGUAGUGAAGUCAUUGAUGCCAUGCUUCCAGGAAAAGCCUCUAAGCUUCAGAUAGUCAGGAAUCGUACCCCAAACCGACACAGGUGGUCGGGUAGAGAAUACCAAGGCGCUUGAGAGAACUCGGGUGAAGGAACUAGGCAAAAUGGUACCGUAACUUCGGGAGAAGGUACGCUCUUGAUGGUGAAGUCCCUCGCGGAUGGAGCUGACGAGAGUCGCAGAUACCAGGUGGCUGCAACUGUUUAUUAAAAACACAGCACUGUGCAAAAUCGCAAGAUGACGUAUACGGUGUGACGCCUGCCCGGUGCCGGAAGGUUAAUUGAUGGGGUUAGCGCAAGCGAAGCUCUUGAUCGAAGCCCCGGUAAACGGCGGCCGUAACUAUAACGGUCCUAAGGUAGCGAAAUUCCUUGUCGGGUAAGUUCCGACCUG